UCUACGGGAGGCAGCAGUGAGGAAUAUUGGUCAAUGGACGAGAGUCUGAAUCAGCCAAGUAGCGUGAAGGAUGACUGCCCUAUGGGUUGUAAACUUCUUUUAUAAAGGAAUAAAACGAGGCACGUGUGCCUUUUUGCAUGUACUUUAUGAAUAAGGAUCGGCUAACUCCGUGCCAGCAGCCGCGGUAAUACGGAGGAUCCGAGCGUUAUCCGGAUGUAUUGGGUUUAAAGGGAGCGUAGAUGGGUUGUUAAGUCAGUUGUGAAAGUUUGCGGCUCAACUGUAAAAUUGCAAUUGAUACUGGCAGUCUUGAGUACAGUUGAGGUAGGCGGAAUUCGUGGUGUAGCGGUGAAAUGCUUAGAUAUCACGAAGAACCCCGAUUGCGAAGGCAGCUUACUAAACUGUGACUGACAUUGAUGCUCGAAAGUGUGGGUAUCAAACAGGAUUAGAUACCCUUGUAGUC
rnacentral:rRNA from 1 species